UACGUAGGUGGCAAGCGUUAUCCGGAAUUAUUGGGCGUAAAGAGCGCGCAGGCGGUUGAUUAAGUCUGAUGUGAAAGCCCACGGCUUAACCGUGGAGGGUCAUUUGAAACUGGUCGACUUGAGUGCAGAAGAGGGAAGUGGAAUUCCAUGUGUAGCGGUGAAAUGCGUAGAGAUAUGGAGGAACACCAGUGGCGAAGGCGGCUUCCUGGUCUGUAACUGACACUGAGGCGCGAAAGCGUGGGGAGCAAACAGGAUUAGAUA
rnacentral:rRNA from 1 species